rnacentral:snRNA from 1 species
GGUUGUGAGGGCAUCUGGCUGCAACAUCUGUCACCCCAAUGAUCCCCAGGGUUGACUCAGCUCAUCUGGCUGGCUCAGUGAGUGUCCCCUUCCUCACCACUCCAUGUGUGUCCCUCCUGAAACUGCAUGCUGAUAGAGGAGGACUGUCCCUUGGUCAAGGAUAUAAGAGUAGCUGUGCUUUUUCUGAGUUUUUCAAGGAAGUAGCUUUGGUAACUUCUGAUAAACCAAGGGACAUACAUCAGGUUCU